GGGAGGUGUUGCAUUUGCUGAGGCGUUAAAUAGAAUAGUUUGUUAUUAGCUUUUUCUUUUCUUUUCUUUCAUUUUGAUCAAAUAGAUAGCA
rnacentral:ribozyme from 13 species